rnacentral:rRNA from 1 species
CUGCCUGGUAGUGGGGGACGAACGUUUCGAAAGGAAACGCUAAUACCGCAUACGUCCUACGGGAGAAAGCAGGGGACCUUCGGGCCUUGCGCUAUCAGAUGAGCCUAGGUCGGAUUAGCUAGUUGGUGAGGUAAUGGCUCACCAAGGCGACGAUCCGUAACUGGUCUGAGAGGAUGAUCAGUCACACUGGAACUGAGACACGGUCCAGACUCCUACGGGAGGCAGCAGGA